ACGUGGGAACUGCAUUUGAAACUGGCAAGCUCGAGUCUGUAGAGGGGGAUGAAUUCCAGGUGUAGCGUGAAAUGCGUAGAAAUUUGGUGGAAUACCGGUAGCGACGUCGGCCCCCUUGACAAAGAGUGACGCUCUGGUGCGAAAGCGUUGCGAGCAAACAGGAUUMGAUACCUUGGUAGUCCACGCGGUAAACGAUGUCGAUUUUGAGGUUGUGCCCGUGAGGCGUAGCUUCUGGAGCUAACGCGUUAAAUCGACCGCCUAGGGAGUACGGCCGCAACGUUAAAUUUCAAAUCAAUUGACGGGGGCCCGCCCCCGCGGUGGAGCAUGUGGUUUAAUUCGAUGCAACGGGAAGAACCUUACCUACUGUUGACAUCCAGAGAACUUUCCAGAGAUGGAUUGGUGCCUUCGGGAACUAUGAGACAGGUGCUUCAUGGCUGUUGUCAGCUCGUGUUGUGAAAUGUUGGGUUAAGUCCCGCAACGAGCGCAACCCUUAUCCUUUGUUGCCAGCGAUUCGGUUAUAAACUUCCGGGGGACGGGGGGGGGUAAACCGGGGGCAGGUGGGGAUGACGCCCAGUCAUCAUGCCCCCAAUUACUGGGGCUUCCCACCUGGUUCAAUGGAGUUUACAAAGCGAAGCCAAACCGCGAGCGGAAGCGAAUCGCAGAAAACCCUCGCGGUCCGGAGCCCUUUGUGCAACUCGACUUCGUGACAGUGUGGAGUCCUAGGUAUAACGGGACCUAGAUAUGUUUCGGAC
rnacentral:rRNA from 1 species